rnacentral:rRNA from 1 species
UACGAAGGGGGCUAGCGUUGCUCGGAAUCACUGGGCGUAAAGCGCACGUAGGCGGAUUGUUAAGUCAGGGGUGAAAUCCUGGAGCUCAACUCCAGAACUGCCUUUGAUACUGGCGAUCUCGAGUCCGGGAGAGGUGAGUGGAACUGCGAGUGUAGAGGUGAAAUUCGUAGAUAUUCGCAAGAACACCAGUGGCGAAGGCGGCUGACUGGUCCGGUUCUGACGCUGAGGCGCGAAAGCGUGGGGAGCAAACAGG